UGUUUGAUGCUUCUUUUUUACACUCUGGAGUCAUCGGACUAUUUUUGUUGCUUUCGAUGGCUGUAGCUUUGUGGUUAAGGUUUUGCGUCUUCUCCUUCCUAUAACCUAACCAACUGCAUUUCUGUGCAUUUCUCGGCAGUGAUGAGGCACCUCCUCAUGCUGCUGCGGCUUCCAAAACCGAAUCUUCUUCCCCGAGUGACGAAACACUUAAACGCUUGAAUGCGUACAUCAAGGAAUACCUGUUUCAACUUGGAUUAAGUGAUCUCGCAUGCCGGUUUUUGGAGGAGGCCGAAAAAAAAAAGGACAUCCCACCUGUUCCAUUUGUUCAGAUGUGGGUUCAGCUGGAAAGCGAGAUGAUCCCCUGCCCUCCCCCUUCGUAUGAUAAACAGAUGGGACCAAUGUCAUCCCUGAAUGAGGGCGUCGAGAAGUACCUGGACUACCUGCAUAUUGACAGGAGGAGCUUUAGCGAGAAAGCUUGGAGACACGUUGUUCGUUGGAUUCCUCUGAUUACUAUUUGGUUUGAAAGAAUCUAUCCACAACGUGAUGCUAAGACUGACUGAACAGAAUAUGAGGCAAUUGGCAGUUGACAACUACUCAUUUGAUAGUAACUGUGAUGAUAGAUUGAUUCGUUACACUUGACUUUGUAUAGGAUUGAUGAUAAGUGCAAGUGAGAAUAGAUGCUUCGGUGGUAUAGGAUUGAU